rnacentral:tRNA from 2 species
GCACCCGUAGCUCAGUUGGAUAGAGCGUUUGACUACGAAUCAAAAGGUCGGAAGUUCGAGUCUUCCCGGGUGUA